UAGGGAAUCUUCCGCAAUGGGCGAAAGCCUGACGGAGCAACGCCGCGUGAGUGAUGAAGGUCUUCGGAUCGUAAAACUCUGUUAUUAGGGAAGAACAAAUGUGUAAGUAACUAUGCACGUCUUGACGGUACCUAAUCAGAAAGCCACGGCUAACUACGUGCCAGCAGCCGCGGUAAUACGUAGGUGGCAAGCGUUAUCCGGAAUUAUUGGGCGUAAAGCGCACGUAGGCGGUUUUUUAAGUCUGAUGUGAAAGCCCACGGCUCAACCGUGGAGGGUCAUUGGAAACUGGAAAACUUGAGUGCAGAAGAGGAAAGUGGAAUUCCAUGUGUAGCAGUGAAAUGCGCAGAGAUAUGGAGGAACACCAGUGGCGAAGGCGACUUUCUGGUCUGUAACUGACGCUGAUGUGCGAAAGCGUGGGGAUCAAACAGG
rnacentral:rRNA from 1 species